AACGAACGCUGGCGGCGUGGCUAAGACAUGCAAGUCGAACGGACCUGUUAAUUUAUUAGCAGGUUAGUGGCGAAAGGGUGAGUAAUGGAUAGGUAACGUGCCCUGUGCUCUGGGAUAGCCAUCCGAAAGGGUGGGUAAUACCGGAUGAUAUCACCGGCUGACGGGUUGGUGAUCAAAGAUUUAUCGGCGCAGGAGCGGCCUAUCUCCUAUCAGCUAGUUGGUGAGGUAACGGCCCACCAAGGCGAAGACGGGUAGCGGGACUGAGAGGUUGGCCCGCCACAUCGGAACUGAGAUACUGUCCGGACCCCCACGGGGGGCUGCAGUAACGGAUAUUGGGCAAUGGGCGAAAGCCUGACCCAGCGACGCCGCGUGCGGGAGGAAGCCCUUCGGGGUGUAAACCGCUGUCAGGGACGUGAAAGUCCACUUCGGUGGAUUGAUCUAACCCAAAGGAAGUCACGGCUAACUCUGUG
rnacentral:rRNA from 1 species